CCAAUUGCCUCCAUUAGAAUCCUCUUAAAAACAGAAAUAGUCAUGCGGUCCCCAGGCUUGCGUCCCCCUGCUGCCUCUGAGGGCUCACAGUCUGCACCUGAGUAUGGAAUAUUCCACUCUGCACCUUCUGAGUCAUCACAUGAGAUGGAAGAUACCAGCGUCUCUUUCUUUGUUUUACACAUGUUCUUUGUUCUGGAAAAGCAUGCUCUAUAUAUUUAGGAAGUCUUUGCUCAUUUUAGAGGAUAAUGGUUAAGUAUUUCUCUCCAAUAUUUACAGACUGCCGGGGAAAAGGACUUGGCUUCCACCACAGUCCUUACGGAACAGGGUUUCACAUGCUCUUGGCCAUGCCUCUUACAUGGCUCGCUCUUCGUGUGUUUCCAGUCCUCUCAGUAUGGUGGGUACUGAGACACAAUGUUGUAACUUCCUUUCUGUGUAAGGUUAGUGGGAACUAUGCUUUGAUUAAACGGAAGGCGGUGAGGAUUUCUGAAAUGCAUUUAAAGUAUUCUCCAGUUCAAAGUGAGACUUGGGAUGAAAGUUCUCAUGGGAGAGUAACUGAGGUGGUGGUGGAUUAAAUUUAGAGCAAAGGUCAAACACUCUCUUGUGUGACAUCUUUAUGCAAGAAAGCAGAAGAAACAAAGAAAAGACCCUGAGAACAAAGAAUGACAGAAGAGGGGAAAGUUCUUUACAAAAGAAAAGGAGGCUACAGCCAAGCAAAGGCAAGGGUUUCUUAUACUGAAGCAACUCGUAUGUAUGCUGUGUUUUAUUUUUUUUAAAAAAGGCAGUAAACCUAGAAAAUAGUUAAUUUACUUUAGAGAAAGGUGAUAGGAACAGAAAACUUGAGUAUUUUCUUGAGGGAGAGGAAAUCUAGGGAGGACAAUUGAUGCAGCUAGGAGAGACUUCUGCCUGUGGAGGGCCUCCUUUCUUUGUGUGUUCGCAUUCCUUUUCUUUUCUUUCUUUUUUUUUUUUUUUUACUUUUUUUUCAUCUUUGUUAACUUAGGUACUUCUUAUUACAUUUCAAUUGUUAUUCCCUUUCCUGGUUUCCGGGCCAACAUCCCCCUUACCCCUCCCCCUCCCCUUCUCUAUAGGUGUUCCCCUCCCCUUCCUCCCCCCAUUACCACCCUCCCCCCAACAAUCACGUUCACUGGGGGUUCAGUCUUGGCAGGAUCAAGAACUUCCCCUUCCACUGGUGCUCUUACUAUUCAUUGCUACCUAUGAGGUUGGAGCCCAGGGUCAGUCCACGUAUAGUCUUUGGGUAGUGGCUUAGUCCCUGGAAUCUCUGGUUGGUUGGCAUUGUUGUUCAUAUGGGGUCUCAAGCCCCUUCAAGCUCUUCCAGUUCUUUCUCUGAUUCCUUCAAUGAGGGUUCCAUUCUCAGUUCUGUGGUUUGCUGCUGGCAUUCGCCUAUGUAUUUGCUGUAUUCUGGCUGUGUCUCUCAGGAGAGAUCUACAUCCGGUUCCUGUCUGCCUGCUUGAUUCUUCCCUGGGUUGAAGUGGAAGCCAAAAGCACCUUCUGAAAGCACUGUGGUUUCAGGGAUUGAGCAGAGCUCCACCACCAGUUCACAAAGGCAUUGAGAAGAAAAUCAAGAAACAUUCUCAUGUGGGGAAUUAUCGAAUAGAUCAAGCUCAGUUCCAUAUUUCUUCUCAAUCCCUCCUUGAUUCCUACACACCCAACUUCGUGUGUUCUUUUUCCUCUAAAACCAUGAAGAAGACAAUGAUGAUGAGAAGAAGGGGAAGAAGAGUAGGAAAUGGGGCAGGAGGAGGAGAAGAGGAGCAAUAGAAGGAGAACAAGAAGGAGAAGGAGAAGAAGAAGGAGGAGAAAGAGAAGGAGAAGGAGGAGGAGGAAGAGAAAGGAAGAAGGAAGAAGAAGAAGAAGAAGAAGAAGAAGAAGAAGAAGAAGAGAAGAAGAAGAAGAAGAAGAAGAAGAAGAAGAAGAAGAAGAAGAAGAAGAAGAAGAAGAAGAAGAAGAAGAAGAAGAAGAAGAAGAAAGAUGAAAGGAGGAGGAGGAGGAGAACAAGAACAAGAAGAACAAGAAGAAUAAGAAUAAGAACAAGAAAUGGAACAAAACAUGGACUUUAAUUUGUUAGCAUGUUAACUUCUGAGCAUGAGGCCUGCCUUGAUCUGGUUGUAGAACUAACAGCUACCAUGUCUGCCACUGUGUCACUUCGUUCCCACUAGGAGGAAAAUGGACUAAACCUGUGAAACCGUAAGUAAGCCUCAAUUACAUGCUUUCUUUAUAAUAAUUGCUUUGUUCAUGGUGCCGCUUCAUAGCAAUAGAACACUGACUAAGACACCACUACAGAGAUUAUUGUGAGAUCUUUUAUUUAU